rnacentral:rRNA from 1 species
UACGGAGGAUGCAAGCGUUAUCCGGAAUGAUUGGGAGUAAAGAGUUCGUAGGUGGCGAUGUAAGUAUGGUGUUAAAGAGUGAGGCUCAACCUCAUAAGAGCAGUGGAAACUACAUAGCUAGAGUGCGGUAGGGGCAGAGGGAAUUCCUGGUGUAGCGGUGAAAUGCGUAGAGAUCAGGAAGAACACCGGUGGCGAAAGCGCUCUGCUAGGCCGCAACUGACACUGAGGGACGAAAGCUAGGGGAGCGAAUGGG